UACGUAGGGUGCAAGCGUUAAUCGGAAUUACUGGGCGUAAAGCGUGCGCAGGCGGUUGUGCAAGACAGAUGUGAAAUCCCCGGGCUCAACCUGGGAACUGCAUUUGUGACUGCACGGCUGGAGUGCGGCAGAGGGGGGGUAGAAUUCCACGUGUAGCAGUGAAAUGCGUAGAGAUGUGGAGGAACACCGAUGGCGAAGGCAGCCCCCUGGGUCAAGAUUGACGCUCAUGCACGAAAGCGUGGGGAGCAAACAGG
rnacentral:rRNA from 1 species